rfam:Cedecea davisae DSM 4568 genomic scaffold Scaffold0, whole genome shotgun sequence.
AACCGACAUCAGCGAUUCGUUCUGAGAACCGGCCCCUACCGCGAGGUAAGAGUGCAUGCCCAGCUCUUUCAUCUGCUGCUCACCAAUCACGCGGGUCACCACGUUUUUGCUGAACGAGUCCGCCAGCUGGCGCGCCUGGGAGGCGAGGUAACCGGCGUUACAGAUGUUUGGCGGCAUGUUGCCGAGAUCUUUCGC